rnacentral:rRNA from 1 species
GACGAACGCUGGCGGCGUGCUUAACACAUGCAAGUCGAACGGAAAGGCCCUGCUUGCAGGGUACUCGAGUGGCGAACGGGUGAGUAACACGUGGGUGAUCUGCCCUGCACUUCGGGAUAAGCCUGGGAAACUGGGUCUAAUACCGGAUAGGAGCCAUUUUUAGUGUGAUGGUUGGAAAGUUUUUUCGGUGUAGGAUGAGCUCGCGGCCUAUCAGCUUGUUGGUGGGGUAAUGGCCUACCAAGGCGGCGGCGGGUAGCCGGCCUGGGAGGGUGGACGGCCACAUUGGGACUGAGGUACGGCCCAGGCUCCUACGGGGGGCAGCAGUGGGGAAUAUUGCACAAUGGGCGCAAGCCUGAUGCAGCGACGCCGCGUGGGGGAUGACGGCCUUCGGGUUGUAAACUCCUUUCGCUAGGGACGAAGCUUUUUGUGACGGUACCUAGAUAAGAAGCACCGGCUAACUACGUG